ACUGCUCAGUAACACGUGGAUAACCUGCCCUUGGGUCCGGCAUAACCCCGGGAAACUGGGGAUAAUUCCGGAUAACGCACAUAUGCUGGAAUGCUUUAUGCGUCAAAUGGAUUCGUCUGCCCAAGGAUGGGUCUGCGGCCUAUCAGGUAGUAGUGGGUGUAAUGUACCUACUAGCCGACGACGGGUACGGGUUGUGAGAGCAAGAGCCCGGAGAUGGAUUCUGAGACAUGAAUCCAGGCCCUACGGGGCGCAGCAGGCGCGAAAACUUUACAAUGCGGGAAACCGUGAUAAGGGGACACCGAGUGCCAGCAUCAUAUGCUGGCUGUCCGGGUGUGUAAAAUACACCUGUUAGCAAGGGCCGGGCAAGACCGGUGCCAGCCGCCGCGGUAACACCGGCGGCCCGAGUGGUGAUCGUGAUUAUUGGGUCUAAAGGGUCCGUAGCCGGUUUGGUCAGUCCUCCGGGAAAUCUGACGGAUUAACCGUUAGGCUUUCGGAGGAUACUGCCAGGCUUGGAACCGGGAGAGGUAAGAGGUACUACAGGGGUAGGAGUGAAAUCUUGUAAUCCCUGUGGGACCACCUGUGGCGAAGGCGUCUUACCAGAACGGGUUCGACGGUGAGGGACGAAAGCUGGGGGCACGAACCGGAUUAGAUACCCGGGUAGUCCCAGCCGUAAACGAUGCUCGCUAGGUGUCAGGCAUGGCGCGACCGUGUCUGGUGCCGCAGGGAAGCCGUGAAGCGAGCCACCUGGGAAGUACGGCCGCAAGGCUGAAACUUAAAGGAAUUGGCGGGGGAGCAC
rnacentral:rRNA from 1 species